UGGGGAAUAUUGGGCAAUGGGGGAAACCCUGACCCAGCGACGCCGCGUGAGGGGAGAAGGUUUUCGGAUUGUAAACCUCUGUUCUUGGUGAAGAGGGGAAGACGGUAGCCAAGGAGGAAGCCCCGGCUAACUACGUGCCAGCAGCCGCGGUAAUACGUAGGGGGCGAGCGUUGUCCGGAAUGAUUGGGCGUAAAGGGCGCGUAGGCGGCUUGUCAAGUCUGGAGUGGAAGUCCUAUUUUCAAGGUAGGAAUUGCUUUGGAAACUGGCAAGCUUGAGUGCAGGAGAGUUCAUCGGAAUUCCCGGUGUAGCGGUGAAAUGCGUAGAGAUCGGGAGGAACACCAGUGGCGAAGGCGGGUGACUGGACUGCAACUGACGCUGAUGCGCGAAAGUGUGGGGAGC
rnacentral:rRNA from 1 species